CAGCAGGCAUCGGCGCUCGCUGCAGGGACGUCGCCAAUUUUGAGCCCAGACAGUCUGUGAGCAGGACUGGCUCCUCUUGUGGAUCACUUAAUCAGCAGCAUGCGGAGGAGUCACAUGACCCGAGCACCCACAGGACGUUCAUGUCUCCAUCCAGUCCGUGCGGGACCUGAGUCCACCUGGCGAAGACCUGGUGGGGCGCCUCCGUCAGGACAACUGCAGCCAGCUCAGAGCUUCGUCCCUGGUAAUGACUCGUCCUGAAACCAGUCUCUCGGCCACUGCAGACACCGCCGGGUCAUAGUUCAAGCUGGCCGCCGCUAUGACCUCAUCGUCCCUGCACGAGGAAACACAUCACGGUAAAAAGUGUGUGUGUGUGUGUGUGUGUGUGUGUGUGUGUGUGUUGAGCACUCACUUUAUGUACAACGCGAGGAACUUCCUGUCCUCAAAGUUUCCUUUCAUGACUAUUUCGGUGUAUCCUUCGCCGUAGCCUGCACUCACAACACAGCUAGUGACAGUCUUGACAAGCAUGGAACUACACCUUUCAUACACUCCCUGGCGCUAGGGGGCGCUCAACCGUGCUGCUGUGAACCACUUAAGGGGUGGACUUGCCAUCAUGGAGAGAUCUCACUUCAUUUCUCUCAAGUUAUUAUUCCAUCAUGAUGAGAAGAUGAAGAUGUCCAACCUGCGUAGCGGAUAGUCUUUCCCAGCACCACGGUCCAGUAGAACGGGACAGAGUUGACAGGAGAGUCUUGCUUCAGCAUGUUGAGAGCAGCUGUCCUCCCUGAACAACGCGUCAUCAUUGUCAUUAUCAUCAUCAUCAUCAUCAUCAUCUGCUAUCUUCCCUAAACAAUACAUCAUUUUCAUUUUAAUCAUCAUCAUCAUCAUUUGCUAUCUUCCCUAAACGACACAUCAUCAUCAUCAUCUGCUGUCCUCCCUGAAAAACAAAUAAUUGUUUUCAUUAUCAUCAUCAUCAUCAUCAUUAUUCAUCACCAUUUGCUGUCCUCCCUGAACAACACAUCGUUUUCAUUUUAAUGAUCAUCAUCAUCAUCAUCAUUUGCUAUCUUCCCUAA